CUGAUCUUUGCAGGGCCUGUCUCAGAUACUUACCUGUAUAUACCUGUGGGAGGAAGAAGAAAAAGGUGUGUCCACCUAGAAUAAUUUGUUUGCUGGAAGUUCUGUUGUUGGCAGAAAAUGGAAGCUACAAACUAGUGUGGUUAUCAGCAGGGAAUGGGAUCAAAGUUUCAGUCCAACAAGUCCAGGCAACUUUCAGCUUGAAGGCCAAGGUGUUACUACUUAGAAUUUAGGGCACAGAAGGCUGGUGUGUGUCGGCAGUGAUAUUUGGGAGAAUGAGUCUGUUUGGGAGACACUUUAGGUCAUACCAGUAGUUUAAGAACAUCAACCAGACUGCUGUGUUGAGAAGAAUACAGACACUGCAUUCAGAUUCAGUGAGAAAGAGUGCUUUGAUCAACUAAUAUUUUCUGCAGUGGUCCAUCCAUGUGUGUU
rnacentral:lncRNA from 1 species